AUACGGAGGGUGCGAGCGUUAAUCGGAAUUACUGGGCGUAAAGCGUGCGUAGGCGGUUUGCUAAGUCAGAUGUGAAAGCCCCGGGCUUAACCUGGGAACUGCAUUUGAUACUGGCAGACUUGAGUAUGAUAGAGGGGGGUAGAAUUCCUGGUGUAGCGGUGAAAUGCGUAGAUAUCAGGAGGAAUACCAGUGGCGAAGGCGGCCCCCUGGAUCAAUACUGACGCUGAGGUACGAAAGCGUGGGGAGCGAACAGGAUUAGAUACCCUAGUAGUCC
rnacentral:rRNA from 1 species